UACGUAGGGUGCGAGCGUUAAUCGGAAUUACUGGGCGUAAAGCGUGCGCAGGCGGUGCGCCAAGCUCGAUGUGAAAGCCCCGGGCUUAACCUGGGAAUUGCAUUGAGGACUGGCAGGCUAGAGUAUGGCAGAGGGGGGUAGAAUUCCACGUGUAGCAGUGAAAUGCGUAGAGAUGUGGAGGAAUACCGAUGGCGAAGGCAGCCCCCUGGGCCAAUACUGACGCUCAUGCACGAAAGCGUGGGGAGCAAACAGG
rnacentral:rRNA from 1 species